rnacentral:rRNA from 1 species
AUGGCAGGUCUUAAUACCUUGCGGCAACUGGUGGGACUCUUGCCGGAGGUUGCCGACCGCCGAGCUACCCCUGUUCCUUUCCGGAACAAGGCGCUGAACACGAUCACGUCGGUCCUCGUCUUCUUGGCCGGCAGCCGGUUGCCGCUGUAUGGGCUCUCGACCACCGCGUCUCCGGACCCCUUUUACUGGAUCCACGCGGCCAGCGCCUCCAACGGCGGCACUGUCAUGGCUCAAGGGGUAUACCACUUGCUGGUAUCCGAGCUGGUCAUCCACCCCUUGUUCCGACUGAAGAUUGUCAGGGACAAGAUUCCCGUGGAAGAACGCAUGCAGUUCAUGGAUAGGUCCCAGAAGUUACUGGGCAUACUGUUAGCCAUGGUGUCUGCAGUUUGCAAUGUGUUUUCCGCGGGGCAGCUCGGUCCGGUGAAUGCGACUCUGAUCGCGCUCCAGCUUUUUGCUGGAGGUACCAUUGUAAUUUACCUUGAUGAGGCCCUUAAAAAGGGGCACGGACUGGUAUCUAGUGGCAUUGCUCUCUUCACUGCCACCAACAUCUGCGCGUGUUUCCUGGAGAGAUAUGGAGGAGACAAGAUCGUCAUUCCUGCUGGCACGUGUGCAUUCCUGGCGCUCACGGUGAGACUACAAGGCUUGCAUCUCCCAUUGGCAGUGAGGACACAUGGUGUUGACCCUGCGUUGCAAGCCAACUGCAGCGUGAACCUAUCCUACCUCUCCUACAUGCCCAUCGUGUUUCAGGGUGCCAUUGCUUCAAGCAUGUAUUUCAUCUCACAGCUGUUAUACUUGCAAUACGGCGAAAAUAAUAAUGGAGUGGUCAAGCUGCCCGGCAGUUGGAAGCGGGAUAGUCGGUACCCUGGACAACUUAUUCCCAUCGGCGGGGUCGCACACUACGUAACCAAUCCACCAGCCUGGGCUGACUUAGCAAGAGACCCUGUCCAUGUGACACUCUAUGCCGUCUUGCUGCUGAUGGCAUCUGCUCUUAUCUCGGCAACAUGGUUUGGUGUUCGUGUAUAUUCGAGAAAUUAUGUGGCCAGGUUGCUCGGGAGGCAAAUACCUCUGACGCCUGCUCAGCCCGGCUCCAUUCCCAUGACCCGAUGGAAGCGUCAUGUUGCCAUGAUAGCACUUCUCGUAGGGCUUUGCGUCGGUGCGCUGACUCUCAUGGCAGGUUUCAUAUGUGUGCCUGGUUCCGGAACUGGAAUUAUGCUCGUCGUCACCGUCGUGUGUUCCUACUUUGAAAGGAGAGCUGGAGAUCAGGCUGCUGAUGUAUUCUGCCUCUAA